rnacentral:rRNA from 1 species
UACGUAGGGGGCAAGCGUUGUCCGGAUUUAUUGGGCGUAAAGAGCGUGUAGGCGGCUUUACAGGUCCGUUGUGAAAACUCGAGGCUUAACCUCUAGACGUCGAUGGAAACCGUCUGGCUAGAGUCCGGAAGAGGAGAAUGGAAUUCCUGGUGUAGCGGUGAAAUGCGCAGAUAUCAGGAAGAACACCCGUGGCUAAGGCGGUUCUCUAGUACGGUACUGACGCUGAGACGCGAAAGCGUGGGGAGCGAACAGG